UGGAUCAGUUCUUGUAGUUGACUUAGAAAGUCUCUGUACUAGGGGAGGAAAUAUAGUCCAGUCAACUAAAGCUAUACCGGCUUGGGGGCUCUAAAAUAUAGAACUUCAUAUUUCGAAUCAAUAAAUCCUUGCAGUCAAAAAACAGAUCCCCAAUUUUCUAAUUUUUUUCAUAACAGCAAAAGCGUGCGAUCACACUGACCAUGUGAAUUUAGCAUGAACAAAUGACCCCCUCCCAUAUUCAAGCAUAGAGACAAUACAUUAACGCGGUCCUGCAAUAAUACAAUACAUACUUAUAAGUGUCUAUAUAUAUAUAUCAUAUACUUCUAACAGUGGGCUGGCCAUGUAAAUUAGCAAAAAAUGAAGUUUGUACGGACUGUAAAUGUUUUGAGACUAGAGUUGAUCAUGGCCAGAUUUGGACACAAAAAAUACUAAAAUUAAAUUUGAUCUAAAAUCUGACUAAAAGUAUUUGAGACCUGUCCUUAAAAUGCAUACGACCCUUAAAACUCAGCGAUGGAUGCAAAAUGCAUUUAAAGACGGGUUGAACUAAAAUUGUAAUCCACCAGCCUCGCAUGAC
rnacentral:lncRNA from 1 species